rnacentral:rRNA from 1 species
GACGAACGCUGGCGGCGUGCUUAACACAUGCAAGUCGAACGGAAAGGCCCUGCUUUUGUGGGGUGCUCGAUUGGCGAACGGGUGAGUAACACGUGAGUAACCUGCCCUUGACUUUGGGGUAACUUCAGGAAACUGGGGCUAAUACCGGAUAGGAGCUCCUGCUGCAUGGUGGGGGUUGGAAAGUUUGGGCGGUUGUGGCUGGACUCGCUGCUUAUCAGCUUGUUGGUGGGGUAGUUGCUGACCAAGGGUUUGACGGGUAGGCUGCCUGGGAGGGUGACCGGCGACAUUGGGACUAAGGGAGGGCCCAGAAGGCUACGGGAGGCAGCAGUGGGAAAUAUUGCAGAAUGGGCGGACGCGUGAGGCAGAAACGCUGCGUGCGGGAUGAUGUGCUUCGAGUUGUAAACAGAUUUCGAAUGUGACGAAGCGUGCGUGACGGUAAUGGGUAAAGAAGCACCGGCUAACUACGUG